UACGUAGGGGCUAGCGUUGUCCGGAAUCAUUGGGCGUAAAGCGCGUGUAGGCGGCCCGGUAAGUCCGCUGUGAAAGUCGGGGCUCAACCCUCGGAUGCCGGUCGAUACUGCCGGACUAGAGUUCGGAAGAGGCGAGUGGAAUUCCGGUGUAGCGGUGAAAUGCGCAGAUAUCAGGAAGAACACCAAUGGCGAAGGCAGCUCUCUGGGACGGUACUGACGCUGAGACGCGAAAGCGUGGGGAGCGAACAGG
rnacentral:rRNA from 1 species